rnacentral:tRNA from 1 species
AAUUAAUGAACUUGUAUAAGUGUAUAUUUUGAAAGUAUAAAAAAGAGUAAAUUCUCUAUUAAUUU